GUGUGUACACUGUAGCCUACCGAGCAGACCGGAGUAAGUUAAGACUUUCUCUCCUGAAGAGAUCCGUUCAAACAUGGUUCCUCCCGUUCAAGUCUCCCCGCUUAUCAAGACGGCAAGGUGGUCAGCCUUGCUAAUUGGAUUAAUUUAUGGGAAGCAGAGAUAUGAUUAUCUGAAGCCCAUUGCUGCUGAAGAAAAGAGGAUUGAG